rnacentral:rRNA from 1 species
AUGGGCUUUCUACUACCAAUAUCGAAUAUGUCCUUGCAAAAUGAAACUAUUUUUCUCGAUAACAUGGCUUUAGUGGGUCUCUGCGCCAUUUGGCGCAACGGAUCAACUAGUAAUAAGAAAAUGUGGGAAGAAUGCUUGCCUCAUAUUGAAUUUGCUUAUAAUCAUUCAUUGCAUUCUACUACUAAGAUGUGCCCUUUUGAAAUUGUGUAUGGUUUCCUACCUCGUGCACCUAUUGAUUUAUUGCCUCUUCCAUCUUCGAAGAAGGUUAAUUUUGAUGCUAAAGAAUGUGCUGAAUUGAUUUUAAAACUGCAUGAGUUAAUUAAGGAAAACAUUAAGCGUAUGAAUGCUAAAUAUAAAUUUGCUGGAGAUAAGGGUAGAAAACAUGUUGUGUUUGCACCUGGAGAUCCUGUUUGGUUACAUUUGCGUAAGGAUAGAUUUCCUAAUUUGCGCAAAUAA